AGGUGAUCCAACCGCAGGUUCCCCUACGGUUACCUUGUUACGACUUCACCCCAGUCAUGAAUCACAAAGUGGUAAGCGCCCUCCCGAAGGUUAAGCUACCUACUUCUUUUGCAACCCACUCCCAUGGUGUGACGGGCGGUGUGUACAAGGCCCGGGAACGUAUUCACCGUGGCAUUCUGAUCCACGAUUACUAGCGAUUCCGACUUCAUGGAGUCGAGUUGCAGACUCCAAUCCGGACUACGACGCACUUUAUGAGGUCCGCUUGCUCUCGCGAGGUCGCUUCUCUUUGUAUGCGCCAUUGUAGCACGUGUGUAGCCCUGGUCGUAAGGGCCAUGAUGACUUGACGUCAUCCCCACCUUCCUCCAGUUUAUCACUGGCAGUCUCCUUUGAGUUCCCGGCCGGACCGCUGGCAACAAAGGAUAAGGGUUGCGCUCGUUGCGGGACUUAACCCAACAUUUCACAACACGAGCUGACGACAGCCAUGCAGCACCUGUCUCACGGUUCCCGAAGGCACAUUCUCAUCUCUGAAAACUUCCGUGGAUGUCAAGACCAGGUAAGGUUCUUCGCGUUGCAUCGAAUUAAACCACAUGCUCCACCGCUUGUGCGGGCCCCCGUCAAUUCAUUUGAGUUUUAACCUUGCGGCCGUACUCCCCAGGCGGUCGACUUAACGCGUUAGCUCCGGAAGCCACGCCUCAAGGGCACAACCUCCAAGUCGACAUCGUUUACGGCGUGGACUACCAGGGUAUCUAAUCCUGUUUGCUCCCCACGCUUUCGCACCUGAGCGUCAGUCUUCGUCCAGGGGGCCGCCUUCGCCACCGGUAUUCCUCCAGAUCUCUACGCAUUUCACCGCUACACCUGGAAUUCUACCCCCCUCUACGAGACUCAAGCUUGCCAGUAUCAGAUGCAGUUCCCAGGUUGAGCCUGGGGAUUUCACAUCUGACUUAACAAACCGCCUGCGUGCGCUUUACGCCCAGUAAUUCCGAUUAACGCUUGCACCCUCCGUAUUACCGCGGCUGCUGGCACGGAGUUAGCCGGUGCUUCUUCUGCGGGUAACGUCAAUGAGCAAAGGUAUUAACUUUACUCCCUUCCUCCCCGCUGAAAGUACUUUACAACCCGAAGGCCUUCUUCAUACACGCGGCAUGGCUGCAUCAGGCUUGCGCCCAUUGUGCAAUAUUCCCCACUGCUGCCUCCCGUAGGAGUCUGGACCGUGUCUCAGUUCCAGUGUGACUGUUCAUCCUCUCAGACCAGCUAGGGAUCGUCGCCUAGGUGAGCCGUUACCCCACCUACUAGCUAAUCCCAUCUGGGCACAUCCGAUGGCAAGAGGCCAGAAGGUCCCCCUCUUUGGUCUUGCGACGUUAUGCGGUAUUAGCUACCGUUUCCAGUAGUUAUCCCCCUCCAUCAGGCAGUUUCCCAGACAUUACUCACCCGUCCGCCACUCGUCAGCGAAACAGCAAGCUGUUUCCUGUUACCGUUCGACUUGCAUGUGUUAGGCCUGCCGCCAGCGUUCAAUCUGAGCCAUGAUCAAACUCU
rnacentral:rRNA from 1 species